rnacentral:rRNA from 1 species
AAUAUUGGUCAAUAGCCUAACGGCUGAACCAGCAACUGGGAGGAAUGUAAUUACUACUAAGUAGUUUAAAUUUCUAGGUAGAAUUAUGAUAAUGACGUUAUCUAUCUNUGAGUCUUGACCAAAUUACGUGCCAGCAGUCGCGGUAAUACGUAGAAGCCAAGUGUUAUUCAUGUUUAUUAGGUUUAAAGAGUACCAAGACGGUUAAUAAAGCCCGAAAUAAAUAAAGGGGACACAUUAACUUGAGUUAUAUGAAAAGAAGCUCUAAGGUACUGUUGAGUGGAGAGAUGAAAUUUUAUGAUACCAGAUGAUUGGCACAGAUUAAUGCGAAGGCAUCUUCUUAUGUAAUAACUGACGUUGUAGGACGAAGGCUUAGGGAGUAAACAGGAUUAGGUACCCUAGUAAUCUAGGCAGAAAAUGAUGAAUGUCAUAGGUAACUAGAUGUCUAUAAAUGAAAGUGUAAGCAUUCCACCUCAAGAGUAAUUUGGCAACAUUGGAACUGAAAUCAUUAGACCGUGUCUGAAACCAGUAGUGAAGUAUGUUGUUUAAUUAGAUGAUACACAAGAACCUUACCACAACUUGAAUAUAUAUAAUUUGUAUUUACAAGCGCUGCACGGCUGUCUACAGUUAAUGUCGUGAGAUUUUGGUUAGCUCCAUAAAAUUGACGUAAACCCUAAUUUUAUUUAUAAAUAUAAUUAACAUUGCUAUAAUUGAUGUUUAAUAGGGAACAUGACAAGUCAUCA